ACAAAAAACCAACAAAACAAAAACACUCCCUUGUUUCAAUGUGCUGAAAUGGCUUUUCUGACUGUGAUUCAGAUUUCCAGGUUCCGUGGAUCUGUAGCAGUCCAUGAGGACAGAUGGCAAUCCGUCUUGAGCCUUACCAGGGAUCUUUGACCAACACUACGUCUUUGGAGUUCACUCAGAUGCCACAGUGUGGUAACAUUCCACCAAUUUCAACCGGAGAAGAUUCGAGACGCAGUGGAAAACAGGCCUGGAUGAGAAGCCAGCCCUGCCCUGGACCCCGUGGUUCUUCUGAGAACAAGGCCUGGCCCUCCCCUUACCCUGUGGCCACUGGCCCUGGGGCCUGGGCCCCUUCUCAGAUCUGUCUCUCUGAAGUGCUUCCUCCAGCAGGCUCACUGAGGGCUCUGUGGCAUUUCUGGAAUGUCCUUCCUCCCAGCCUGGCUGUGCUCCCCCUUUAGCAGGAAGACUGGGAAAUAAAGAGGCCCAUUUAAGCCUCCCAGGGCCAAGAGAGCACA